UACGUAGGGUGCGAGCGUUAAUCGGAAUUACUGGGCGUAAAGUGUGCGCAGGCGGCCGAGCAAGUCGAGUGUGAAAGCCCCCGAGCUUAACUUGGGAACUGCGCUCGAAACUACUUGGCUAGAGUGUGGCAGAGGGAGGUGGAAUUCCACGUGUAGCAGUGAAAUGCGUAGAGAUGUGGAGGAACACGAUGGCCGGAAGGCAGCCCCCCUGGGCUA
rnacentral:rRNA from 1 species